GCGCCUUGCCAGCCCGCUCAGAAACUCAAAGGAAUUGACGGGGGCCCGCACAAGCGGUGGAGUAUGUGGUUUAAUUCGAUGCAACGCGAAGAACCUUACCUGGUCUUGACAUCCCGGAGACCCUUAGGAAACUAGGGGGUGCUUCCAUCUGGAAGAAUCUGGAGACAGGUGCUGCAUGGCUGUCGUCAGCUCGUGUCGUGAGAUGUUGGGUUAAGUCCCGCAACGAGCGCAACCCUUGCCUUUAGUUGCCAGCAGUUCGGCUGGGCACUCUAAAGGGACUGCCGGUGUUAAACCGGAGGAAGGUGGGGAUGACGUCAAGUCCUCAUGGCCUUUAUGACCAGGGCUACACACGUACUACAAUGGUGGGUACAAAGGGCAGCGAAACCGCGAGGUCGAGCGAAUCUCAAAAAACCCAUCAUAGUCCGGAUUGCAGUCUGCAACUCGACUGCAUGAAGUUGGAAUCGCUAGUAAUCCCCGGAUCAGCAUGCCGGGGUGAAUACGUUCCCGGGCCUU
rnacentral:rRNA from 1 species